rnacentral:lncRNA from 1 species
CCCGGGCUGGGCAGCACCGGCAAAGGCCGGGAACAGGGCCAUGUCUCAGCUUACCGCCACUACUAUCAGCCCGAACUGCCCCGUGGAGCGGCGGGGCAAGAUGGCGCCGCAGCGCCGAGCAUACUGGGAUAUGUAGUUCGUCCGCCCGACCCCCCAAAAUGGCGGCGAGGCCCGGUGGCUGUUGAGGGAAGAAAGGCUCUGUGCUGGGGCUGCCGCGGGCGUCCAGCCUUCACCAGUGAUGUUUUCUGCACACAAGGAUUCUCACCCUCUCAAGGAAAACCAUAGUUAGAGCUAUCGUGCCACUCCUAGAAGUGAAUUCUAAAGCCUGAUGAUCAUCUGUCUCCCCACACCCCAUACAUUUUCCUUCCCCACAAGUGGGGUGGAGCAAGAGAAGGCAGCAGCAAGGACAAGCAGCGAUUUAUUUCUCUGCAAUUUCUGGCCCUGUGUCACCAUGGCUGUGGGGCAGAGAGCCCCCUGCGGCCACCUUUUUUGUAGCCUUUUCUUCACUCAGCAUUUCUGA